rnacentral:rRNA from 1 species
AUUGAACGCUGGCGGCAGGCCUAACACAUGCAAGUCGAGCGGAUGAAGGGAGCUUGCUCCUGGAUUCAGCGGCGGACGGGUGAGUAAUGCCUAGGAAUCUGCCUGGUAGUGGGGGAUAACGUCCGGAAACGGGCGCUAAUACCGCAUACGUCCUGAGGGAGAAAGUGGGGGAUCUUCGGACCUCACGCUAUCAGAUGAGCCUAGGUCGGAUUAGCUAGUUGGUGGGGUAAAGGCCUACCAAGGCGACGAUCCGUAACUGGUCUGAGAGGAUGAUCGGUCACACUGGAACUGAGACACGGUCCAGACUCCUACGGGAGGCAGCAGUGGGGGAUAUUGGACAAUGGGCGAAAGCCUGAUCCAGCCAUGCCGCGUGUGUGAAGAAGGUCUUCGGAUUGUAAAGCACUUUAAGUUGGGAGGAAGGGCAGUAAGUUAAUACCUUGCUGUUUUGACGUUACCAACAGAAUAAGCACCGGCUAACUUCGUG